UGGGGAAUAUUUCACAAUGGGCGCAAGCCUGAUGCAGCCAUGCCGCGUGUGUGAAGAAGGCCUUCGGGUUGUAAAGCACUUUCUGCGGGGAGGAAGGCGUUAAGGUUAAUAACCUUGGCGAUUGACGUUACCCGCAGAAGAAGCACCGGCUAACUCCGUGCCAGCAGCCGCGGUAAUACGGAGGGUGCAAGCGUUAAUCGGAAUUACUGGGCGUAAAGCGCACGCAGGCGGUCUGUCAAGUCGGAUGUGAAAUCCCCGGGCUCAACCUGGGAACUGCAUUCGAAACUGGCAGGCUAGAGUCUUGUAGAGGGGGGUAGAAUUCAAGGUGUAGCGGUGAAAUGCGUAGAGAUCGGGAGGAAUACCGGUGGCGAAGGCGGCCCCCUGGACAAAGACUGACGCUCAGGUGCGAAAGCGUGGGGAGCAAACAGG
rnacentral:rRNA from 1 species